GACGAACGCUGGCGGCGUGCUUAACACAUGCAAGUCGAACGAAGAGCGAUGGAAGCUUGCUUCUAUCAAUCUUAGUGGCGAACGGGUGAGUAACGCGUAAUCAACCUGCCCUUCAGAGGGGGACAACAGUUGGAAACGACUGCUAAUACCGCAUACGAUCUAAUCUCGGCAUCGAGGAUAGAUGAAAGGUGGCCUCUACAUGUAAGCUAUCACUGAAGGAGGGGAUUGCGUCUGAUUAGCUAGUUGGAGGGGUAACGGCCCACCAAGGCGAUGAUCAGUAGCCGGUCUGAGAGGAUGAACGGCCACAUUGGGACUGAGACACGGCCCAGACUCCUACGGGAGGCAGCAGUGGGGAAUCUUCCGCAAUGGACGAAAGUCUGACGGAGCAACGCCGCGUGAGUGAUGACGGCCUUCGGGUUGUAAAGCUCUGUUAAUCGGGACGAAAGGCCUUCUU
rnacentral:rRNA from 1 species